CUUGUACUCCCUCCGUCCGGAAAUACUUGUCAUUGAAAUGGAUGUAUCUAGAUGUAUUUUAGUUCUAGACACAUCCAUUUUGAUGACAAGUAAUUCCGGACAGAGGGAGUACUUG
rfam:Triticum aestivum genome assembly, contig: Triticum_aestivum_CS42_TGACv1_scaffold_220612_3B